AUUGAACGCUGGCGGCAGGCCUAACACAUGCAAGUCGAGCGAGAGGCGGACGUGUGAGUAAUGUCUGGGAAACUGCCUGAUGUAGGGGGAUAACUACUGGAAACGGUAGCUACUACCGCAUAAGAUCCGAUGUGCUCGGAUGGGAUUGGCUAGUAGGUGGGGUAACGGCUCACCUAGGCGACGAUCCCUAGCUGGUCUGAGAGGAUGACCAGCAACACGGGAACUGAGACACGGCCCAGACUCUUACGGGAGGAAGCAGUGGGGAAUAUUGCACAAGGGGCGAAAGCCGGAUGCAGCCAUGCCGCGUGGGUGAAGAAGGCCUUGGGGUUGUAAAGCACGUUCAGCGGGGAGGCGUUACCCGAAGAAGAAGCACCGGCUAACUCCGUGCCAGCAGCCGCGGUAAUAC
rnacentral:rRNA from 1 species